GGGAUAACUUCGGGAAACCGGAGCUAAUACCGGAUAAUAUUUUGAACCGCAUGGUUCAAAAGUGAAAGACGGUCUUGCUGUCACUUAUAGAUGGAUCCGCGCUGCAUUAGCUAGUUGGUAAGGUAACGGCUUACCAAGGCAACGAUGCAUAGCCGACCUGAGAGGGUGAUCGGCCACACUGGAACUGAUACACGGUCCAGACUCCUACGGGAGGCAGCAGUAGGGAAUCUUCCGCAAUGGGCGAAAGCCUGACGGAGCAACGCCGCGUGAGUGAUGAA
rnacentral:rRNA from 1 species